rnacentral:rRNA from 1 species
AAACAUGCAGUCGAGCGGAAACGAUGAUAGCUUGCUAUCAGGCGUCGAGCGGCGGACGGGUGAGUAAUACUUAGGAAUCUACCUAGUAGUGGGGGAUAGCACGGGGAAACUCGUAUUAAUACCGCAUACGACCUACGGGAGAAAGGGGGCAGUUUACUGCUCUCGCUAUUAGAUGAGCCUAAGUCGGAUUAGCUAGAUGGUGGGGUAAAGGCCUACCAUGGCGACGAUCUGUAGCUGGUCUGAGAGGAUGAUCAGCCACACCGGGACUGAGACACGGCCCGGACUCCUACGGGAGGCAGCAGUGGGGAAUAUUGGACAAUGGGGGAAACCCUGAUCCAGCCAUGCCGCGUGUGUGAAGAAGGCCUUUUGGUUGUAAAGCACUUUAAGCAGUGAAGAAGACUCUUCGGUUAAUACCCGGAGACGAUGACAUUAGCUGCAGAAUAAGCACCGGCUAACUCUGUGCCAGCAGCCGCGGUAAUACAGAGGGUGCAAGCGUUAAUCGGAAUUACUGGGCGUAAAGCGAGCGUAGGUGGCUUGAUAAGUCAGAUGUGAAAUCCCCGGGCUUAACCUGGGAACUGCAUCUGAAACUGUUAGGCUAGAGUAGGUGAGAGGGAGGUAGAAUUUCAGGUGUAGCGGUGAAAUGCGUAGAGAUCUGAAGGAAUACCGAUGGCGAAGGCAGCCUCCUGGCAUCAUACUGACACUGAGGCUCGAAAGCGUGGGUAGCAAACAGGAUUAGAUACCCUGGUAGUCCACGCCGUAAACGAUGUCUACUAGUCGUUGGGUCCCUUGAGGACUUAGUGACGCAGCUAACGCAAUAAGUAGACCGCCUGGGGAGUACGGCCGCAAGGUUAAAACUCAAAUGAAUUGACGGGGGCCCGCACAAGCGGUGGAGCAUGUGGUUUAAUUCGAUGCAACGCGAA